rnacentral:rRNA from 1 species
AGAGAAAAGCGGAAUUCCCCGGGUAGCGGUGAAAUGCGUAGAGAUGUGGAGGAACACCACUGGCGAAGGCGGCUUUUUGGUCUGUAACUGACGCUGAGGCGCGAAAGCGUGGGGAGCAAACAGGAUUUGAUACCCUGGUAGUACACGCCGUAAACGAUGAGUGGUAAGUGUUAGAGGGUUUCCGCCCUUUAGUGCCGCAGCUAACGCAUUAAGCACUCCGCCUGGGGAGUACGGUCGCAAGACUGAAACUCAAAGGAAUUGACGGGGGGCCGCACAAGCGGUGGAGCAUGUGGUUUAAUUUGAAGCAACGCGAAGAACCUUUCCAGGUCUUGACAUCCUCUGACAACUCUAGAGAUAGAGCGUUCCCCUUCGGGGGACAGAGUGACAGGUGGUGCAUGGUUGUCGUCAGCUCGUGUCGUGAGAUGUUGGGUUAAGUCCCGCAACGAGCGCAACCCUUGAUCUUAGUUGCCAGCAUUUAGUUGGGCACUCUAAGGUGACUGCCGGUGACAAACCGGAGGAAGGUGGGGAUGACGUCAAAUCAUCAUGCCCCUUAUGACCUGGGCUACACACGUGCUACAAUGGAUGGUACAAAGGGCUGCAAGACCGCGAGGUCAAGCCAAUCCCAUAAAACCAUUCUCAGUUCGGAUUGUAGGCUGCAACUCGCCUACAUGAAGCUGGAAUCGCUUGUAAUCGCGGAUCAGCAUUCCGCGGUGAAUACGUUUCCGGGCCUUGUACACACCGCCCGUCACACCACGAGAGUUUGUAACACCCGAAGUCGGUGGAGUAACCGUAAGGAGCUAGCCGCCUAAGGUGGGACUAGAUGAUUGGGGUGAAGUCGUAACAAGGAGCCUGGCCC